UUUGACCAUCUUGUGCAUUUAUGAAGAAGACCAAAAGCUGCAAAGGCAAACACUUCCAAUGGCAGAAACUGAGAGUUUGCAUGAUGGCAUUUUCUCAGACGCUGAAUCUGAUGUGUACAGAUGAACUCAGGAGCCUACUAGAGUUGCCAAGGAACUUGUGCUUGAACUGAAGACCAGAAACGCAAAGAAAAUCAGUCAAACCAGUCCUAAAGAAAUGAGGAGUGAACAUGCACUUCUUGUGCCCCAAAAGAAAAGACAGAAAGCUCCUAAAAUGAGCAAAUAAGCUGUGCAUCAUCUCUGUGAUUUGGGAAGGAAAUGACUGAAUAUGAUGAAGCCAAUUGAUGAAGAUAUCAAUUGAAUGGCCACCGAGUGCAUCACUGCUACCUGAACCCAUCAGUUAUCUUCUGUGAAGACUGCAUUCACAAACCGCUCUACUGCGACAGCUAAGAUGUUACGGCCUGCAAAGUAAACAUCACAGCUAAACAACGAGAGCUAGUUGUGGUGGGAUUCUUUUGGCCAAUAUCCCCAACAAGAAUCAAUGUUAAGUCCAGUGCAACAAUUAUAAAUAAAAAUACUAUAUAUUGUUUAUUGAUUUACCAUAACCUAAAUACAUGUUUUGGCCCUCCAGGACAGCUAGACAAGGUGGAGUGUGAGGAGGACCGUCAGAGACUCCAGCCACCCGAGCCAUGGAUUGCUCUCACUGUUACCAUCAGGCAGACGUUAUCACAGAACCUACACCAGCAGACAGUGAGACAAGUUCCUUUCACAGGCAAUCAGACUGAACUGAACUCAUACCAGUAAAACCAUACACACCCCACCAACCUCAUAUGCCCUGCACUCUUAUCAGUUAUGCUGACUGGACUCAAUAUUAUUAUGCACCCUGACAUUCUGUUUGCACUAAUUCAUACCGUGCUUUACUGCAGAGAUGUAUGUGUACUGUGAUUAUUAUUGUUUUCAAUUCAUGCUCUUUGUAUAGCAUAAUUUUUAACAUAUAUUGUUAUCUACCUGAAUUGAGUCCCUUAUAUAUGUGUGUUGCAUAUAUAUAUAUUCAGAAUUUGUAUUUCAUAUAUAUUCAUGAAUUAAUUCAUUUGUCAUCCAUACUGUCACGCUGCAGUCUGCACCCAAGACUUUCAUCACCUGUAUACUUGUGUUCAUUGUAUUGUGACAAUAAAGAUAUUUGAUUUAAAUUA